UACGAACCGUACAAACGUUAUUCGGAAUCACUGGGCUUAAAGGGUGCGUAGGCGGCGGCGCAAGUUGGGUGUGAAAUCCCUCGGCUCAACCGAGGAACUGCGCUCAAAACUGCGUUGCUUGAGGGAGAUAGAGGUGAGUGGAACUUAGGGUGGAGCGGUGAAAUGCGUUGAUAUCCUAAGGAACACCAGUGGCGAAGGCGGCUCACUGGACCGGAACUGACGCUGAGGCGCGAAAGCGUGGGGAGCAAACGGG
rnacentral:rRNA from 1 species